rnacentral:rRNA from 1 species
CGAAGGGUGCAAGCGUUAGUCGGAAUUACUGGGCGUAAAGCGUGCGUAGGUGGUUUCUUAAGUCGGAUGUGAAAGCCCUGGGCUCAACCUGGGAAUGGCACUCGAUACUGGGAAGCUGGAGUGCGGUAGAGGAGGGUGGAAUUCCCGGUGUAGCGGUGAAAUGCGUAGAGAUCGGGAGGAACAUCAGUGGCGAAGGCGACCCUCUGGACCAGCACUGACGCUGAGGCACGAAAGCGUGGGGAGCAAACAGGAUUAGAUACCCUGGUAGUCCACGCCCUAAACGAUGCAAACUGGAUGUUGGGCUCAACUCGGAGCUCAGUGUCGAAGCUAACGCGUUAAGUUCGCCGCCUGGGGAGUACGCUCGCAAGAGUG